rnacentral:rRNA from 1 species
AACGAACGUUGGCGGCGUGGAUUAGGCAUGCAAGUCGAACGAAUCCCUGAGGGCUUGCUCUUGGGGGGAAGUGGCGAAAGGGGCAGUAAGGCGUGGGUAACCUACCGAAGGGACCGGGAUAGCCUCGGGAAACCGAGGGUAAUACCGGGCGACGUACCUGGGGCGCAUGUUUUGGGUACCAAAGGUCAGCCGCCCUUCGAGGGGCUCACGUGAUAUUAGCUUGUUGGUGGGGUAACGGCUCACCAAGGCAAAGAUGUCUAGCGGGUGUGAGAGCACG